rnacentral:lncRNA from 1 species
GGAAUCACAAAAGUUUUGGCGAGGUUAGCCCCAAGUCCAAACAGCGCUACAGUAUAGUAUUUGUCAAUGAGCAUAGGAAAUUUCACACCAUUGUCAUAAGCGAUAACGAUAAAGGACACUAAAAGUCAAUACGAAGCUGCUGUUGGUUGCAAGCUACUGAUUUCCGAUUAGAUUACUACCGGCAUGACCAUUAAUCUAAUGCUUGCAGUCCACUUCACUUGAACAUUAAUAAACUAGAGAGGCAAUAAUUCGGCAGCAUGCAUGUGUAUCAAGUACCAUAUGGUGACCAAUUUCUUUAAAGGGAAGACAAGACCGGGGAGCAUACCGAUUCGUUUUUCGCGAUGGUUGAGGGCGAUACGCUUGUAGACGUUCCGCCAGUUGGGGCGGGCGAAGUGGGACUUGACGCGGGUGCCCGACACCACGUCCACCCCGUGCUUGGCGUGGUUGAGCGACUGCAGCAUGGCGAUGAGGGCGGAGCGGGCGUCGCCCUCCUCGUACACGCUGGUGCAGUAGUUGUGCAGCUCGAUCACCCCCUUCUUGUCCGUCUCCGCCACCUCGUUCAUCACCCCCCGGAACCACUCGAACGAGUCCUGCUCCCUCGUCACCCAGUAGAAGUAGGCCCGCCGCGUCCUGAACGACGACGUCGACACCGACACCGACGUCGACGUCGACCCGCCCCUCUUGUGGUGUCCGCUGUUGCUAUUGCUGCCUCCCCCCCGGUUCUCCAGGUCCUGCUCCUCCACGUCCCCCAGCCCCAGCGACUCCAACUGCUUCAUGUUGUUGACGAUGUCCUUGACGAUGCUGAUGAAGGGGGUGGCCCCGAUGCCCAGCCCCACCAGCAGCACCACCUCGUACUUUUUGUAGUCUUGUGCCGGUGCGCCGUAUGGCCCGUCGAUCAGCACCCUCGGAAAGCUGUAGCGUAAUACAAGUGCGAUUAAUCUCUUCGAAACAACCAAUUCUUAUUAAUCCUCUGCAUAUGCCCAACAUCUCCCAUCCCUGCCUCGGUCACCGAGUCCCCAUUUUUCUCGCAACAAGACGAAAGAUCCCGAUCCACGCAACCUUUGGUCGCGUUCAGGAUCUGUCGACUGCAUGUUUGACAUGUGAACUUUGGACCGCCCACCCUCUCAGUUCCCACCCGCCCCUCUAGGGAUGAUGGGCAGUCAAUGCUGACGGUCCCAAUCGUCCCGUACCUUCGCUGCAGAGCAGCAGGCAUAGGGCAGCCAGGCACAUGGCAAGUCCAGCAGAUUCUCGUGAAUAGAGAGAGAGAGAGAGAGAGGCAACGAGGGUCGGGAUGAGCACGACUCACCUUGGAUUCAUCCCAUUGUUGCUGCUAUCACCGUAGUCAGCUCUCAGCAGUCCACUCCUCCCGCCGGUGGGCGGCUGACACACCUGAACAACACCAAGCUUGCGUUACCGACGCCUGUUGAAACCUUCGAAGCCACAUCACCAGAGCACCACAUACCUCCGAGAAAACCAUUUUGAGCUGCCUGGUCCAGUCGCCCAGCGUCCUUAUGUGCACACUGAUGUAGUCGUCUUGCGGAGCCGAGGUGAUGGAGAACGGGUGCCUGUCGCAUACCUUGUUACUACAAUUUGGAGACUGCGAAGGAGGUCUGUCUAAUUGACAUCGAGAUCAGCAUCGAUUAUUACCAUUGGAAGGGGGAGACGGCAGCGCAGUUAACGAAGAUGUACUGCCCGCUUCUGUACUUGAAGCCCUGCGGCUUGGACACAUGCAGCGUCAACACGUUGCCGGGAUACACCGCCACUUUCAGUAUCUUCACCGGCCUCACGCUCGACCUCAAUGCCCUCACCAGCCUUUCGCUCGCGUACAGGAUCACCGGGAUCGCCAGAUACAUCCACGUCUGAUCCACCACAACAUGACACGGAGAUGAUGCUACUUAGCCCAAGUAAUCGAGACGAAGAAGAGUAGCGUCGCCGUGGAUGUGCACCUACCGUUUUCUUGUACCAUUUCUUGGAGAGGUAGAGGAAGUAGCCGUGGACGAUGAAGAGGAUGUAGACGAUGACGAAGAGGUGGUGGGAGUACCAGAAGGCGUUGAACCCGGUGAGCCGGUUGAAGGGCUUAGGCAAGCUGACCCGGCCGCGGCGGAACCACGGUGUGGCCAGAGUGAAGGCGAUGGCCAUCAGCACCACCAUCACCACCCCCGUCCACCCCUCCUUGC